rnacentral:rRNA from 1 species
UACGUAUGGUGCAAGCGUUGUUCGGAUUUACUGGGCGUAAAGAGCGCGCGGGCGGAUGAUUAAGUCGGGAGUGAAAACUAUGGGCUCAACCCAUAGCCUGCUUCCGAAACUGGUUAUCUGGAGUCCCGGAGAGGCAGGCGGAAUUUCCGGUGUAGCGGUGAAAUGCGUAGAUAUCGGAAGGAACACCAAUGGCGAAGGCAGCCUGCUGGACGGAGACUGACGCUGAGGCGCGAAAGCGUGGGGAGCAAACAGG